UACGUAUGGGGCAAGCGUUAAUCGGAUUUAUUGGGCGUAAAGAGCACGAAGGCGGACUAUUAAGCGAGGUGUGAAAACUGGGGGCUCAACCCGCAGCCUGCAUCUCGAACUGGUAGUCUGGAGUUUGGUAGAGGAGUAUGGAAUUCCCAGUGUAGCGGUGGAAUGCGCAGAUAUUGGGAGGAACACCAGUGGCGAAGGCGGUACUCUGGGCCAUAACUGACGCUCUAGUGCGAGAGCUUGGGUAGCAAACAGG
rnacentral:rRNA from 1 species